UUACGGCCAUAUUACGAUAAAACACCGGUUCCCGUACGAACACCGAAGUAAAGCAAUGUCGAGCCUGAUCAGUAACUAGAUGGGUGACUGCUUGGGAAUACCAGAUGCUGUAAG